rnacentral:tRNA from 1 species
GCCGAGAUAGCCAAGGUAGUCACGGCGCCUGUCUGAAAAACAGGUUAUCUGGGUGCAACUCCUAGUCUCGGCA